GAUGAACGCUGGCGGCGUGCCUAAUACAUGCAAGUCGAGCGAACGGGCGAGAAGCUUGCUUCUCUGAUGUUGGCGGCGGACGGGUGAGUAACACGUGGAUAACCUACCUAUAAGACUGGGAUAACUUCGGGAAACCGGAGCUAAUACCGGAUAAUAUUUUGAACCGCAUGGUUCAAAAGUGAAAGACGGUCUUGCUGUCACUUAUAGAUGGAUCCGCGCUGCAUUAGCUAGUUGGUAAGGUAACGGCUUACCAAGGCAACGAUGCAUAGCCGACCUGAGAGGGUGAUCGGCCACACUGGAACUGAGACACGGUCCAGACUCCUACGGGAGGCAGCAGUAGGGAAUCUUCCGCAAUGGGCGAAAGCCUGGCGGAGCAACGCCGCGUGAGUGAUGAAGGUCUUCGGAUCGUAAAACUCUGUUAUUAGGGAAGAACAUAUGUGUAAGUAACUGUGCACAUCUUGACGGUACCUAAUCAGAAAGCCACGGCUAACUACGUG
rnacentral:rRNA from 1 species